AUUGAACGCUGGCGGCAUGCCUUACACAUGCAAGUCGAACGGCAGCACGGGUGCUUGCCCCUGGUGGCGAGUGGCGAACGGGUGAGUAAUACAUCGGAACAUGUCCUGUAGUGGGGGAUAGCCCGGCGAAAGCCGGAUUAAUACCGCAUACGAUCUACGGAUGAAAGCGGGGGACCUUCGGGCCUCGCGCUUUAGGGUUGGCCGAUGGCUGAUUAGCUAGUUGGUGGGGUAAAGGCCUACCAAGGCGACGCUCAGUAGCUGGUCUGAGAGGACGACCAGCCACACUGGGACUGAGACACGGCCCAGACUCCUACGGGAGGCAGCAGUGGGGAAUUUUGGACAAUGGGCGAAAGCCUGAUCCAGCAAUGCCGCGUGUGUGAAGAAGGCCUUCGGGUUGUAAAGCACUUUUGUCCGGAAAGAAAUACUUGGCCCUAAUACGGUCGGGGGAUGACGGUACCGGAAGAAUAAGCACCGGCUAACUACGUG
rnacentral:rRNA from 1 species